GACAACAUAACAGAGGAGGGAAUGGGCUCUGGUGCAUGGGGAGGUAUCAGGGAGGAGUCUGGGGACUGACUAGGACUGGAAGGAUGAGAAUAGAUGAGAGGAGAGUGGGCAGAGCACUCACAGAGCUCAGACUGGGAUGAAAAGGGAGCACAGCCUGACUGGAGUGGGGCUCAUGGAAGGUGGAGCCAAGUAGGCAGGAUGGCUUGGACUAUGGGAGUCCUUCACAUCUGGCAGACAUGCUUCACACCAGUGAUUCUCAACGUUGCUUGUACAUGAGAAUCAAUGGGGGCACUUUUAAAGCCACACUCUGGGUGAAUUGUGUUAGAGUUUCUGAGAUGGCCUGGACAUCAGGAUUUUUAAAAGAAUGCCACUGAUGUCAAUAUACAACCAGGGGUUGAGAACCACAGUCAUGUGAGUGUAAGUUGUGGAGAAGAGCAUUGCUCAAAAUUCCUGUGGUAAUCACUGUACCUCAUGACUGUGCACAACAUUUUCCCAUCCCUUCAGUGGACUUGAAAGAAAUUUAAAAUAUUGCUCAAGUUUAAAGGUCUGUGCAUAAUCAUGUGAUGCUAACUGGACUGACUCUAGGUAACCCUUAUGGUUGGUUGUUCAUAAGCCACAGUGUGGCACUCAAGUCUGAAGGACCCUUAGGUUGCAGUUCCAAAUAGAAUCUCUGCCCAAAGGAACACGUCAUUAAGGGCUUGAAGGAGAAGUUCUGCAGGACUCUGAUGAGGGCAAGUUUCAUGUUCAUGAUCGUGAGCCUCAUGCCAAUGCAACUUUUGGAUCCAGUUCCAAAAGGUAAACACUUCAUGUCAUGACUGAAUCAAUCACAGAGAAGUACCAGGAAUCUCUAGUUUCUGUUUGACAAGCUACAGGAGCAGGGACUGCUGAGCUUGUGGGAACCACCAGAUCUUCCGGUCCAGAAAACAGGUGUGACCUGCUCACCCUAUUGGGGAAAGUCACAUCAAUCUUCUCCUGCAGUUUCUGCUGGACAUCAGGGGUCUGCAAGGACCUUUGCCUGUGGGGUGGCCCCACAGCUUCCCAGAAGGGGAACCACCUCUUCCCGUGUGGCACGAGGAUCACUUGGACCUUGCUCUCUCCUCCUUGGAUUCACCCUUCUCACCAGAUCACUGCCAGGACACAUUUGGACCUGAUCCAGAGUGGUACCUAGGAAAUGUUUGUGGAUCUAAACAAAGGCCAGGACAAGAACCUUCCUGCUGACCUUCUAGGCAUAUUUGAAGUUCAGAUGAACCUCUGGAUAGCAGGUGUUGGGAAAUCCCCAAAUGACAACACAAUGAGAGGUACUGGUGGAGUCCAUGUGCUGUUUCCAAUAUGUGUUUCUGAAACAGCCACAAGAUAUUUUACUGAAGGCCUACUGGGUGCUCAGCAGUGUGUAGGCCCUGAGAAUACAGCAGUGGGGCCAACGUUAUCCUCAAAGCCAUCCCUGCCCUUUGUGGGCCUGUGGGCUCCAUCUCAUCAGUGGGACUAAUGAGCUUGUCUGGAAGCAGCACAGCAUAGUGAAUGAGGCCACAGGUCGGAGGUCUCCACAUUCUCUACUCUCUCACCUUGAGGAAGUCAUUAACCUCCCUGUUCCUCAGUUUCCUCUUAGAGCUAUUAGAAGGAUUAAUGAGAAAUCUGUAAAAUUAAAGCCUUGGACACCAACAGUGACACUCUUUCCAGCUCCCUGAUUCUUCCAUUUCAUCUUUGUUAAUCAAUCAGCUGUGUUAUGGUUCCAAAUGCAGACAUGAGAGACAGUGCUUUUUAAAAUGUAUAGUGCUCCAAGAAAAUGUGACUUUUCAACUUUUCACAGAUGACAUCAUCAUUCCCAUGAGACCCUUCCUGGGAUGAGAAUGGGGAGGGAAAUUUUCUUGUUACCAUAAAACAACUUCUUGGUCUUACUUGGGUAAUGUGCUUUCCUGACGUCAGUCUUCAUCAUACCCUUCAUAGCCCGUUGCUCCUCCCAGAAUGAGCUCAGAAUGUUUGGCAGUGUGACUUCUGAACUAGAAAAGUGGGCCUCAGACCCCCUCUCUGCCAUGGGCCUUACGGGUGACACCUGCUCCCUGCCCUGGUUCUACAGAGGGUCCUUGAUGGUCUGUGGUAGUGUCCAUGCUUUUAUCAGGACUGGGAGUUGCCCCUGAUGACCUGGGUCCUUCUCACUGGCACCCAAGAUCCAGUUCCACCCUCCACCCAGUGUUGAUGAGUGCAGGUCCCCUAGCCCUCCUGUGACAGGUAUGUGCAGGUCCACGGAGUCUCUCCAUAGAUCCUGGUACAGGCUGAAUUGUGUUCCCUCCAAAUCUUCAUGCUGAUGUCCUAACUGCCAGCAAUUCAAAACAUGACCACAGUUGGAGAUGUUGCUUUUAAGAAGGAAAAGAAUGUUAGAUGAAGUCACUAGCAUGGGCCCUAAUCCAACAUGACUGGUGCCCUUCUAAGAAGAGGAGAUCAGGACACAGACAUGCACAGAGGGAAGACUAUGUGAAUACACAAGAAGAAGUUGAUUAUCUACAAGCCAUGGAGGGAGGCCUCUGAGGGAACCAACCUUUCUGACUUCUUGAUUUUGGACUUCUGGCCUCCAGAAUUGUGAGAGAAUAAAUUAUUGUUGUUGAA